UGGUGAAACGUCCAGCCCACUGCCCAGAGAAAACUUAAGACUCUAACAAAUCUAAAGAAGAGUCUAGAGAAAGGCAGAAUGGCAGAAAUCAAAGUACCUCAAAAGUCAAAAGUCAAAACCCAUUCAGCCAUACUUCAGUUCUACAGAAUCAAAACACAAACGUAGCAGCCAAAAAAAAAAAAAAGAGAUCGGAGGAAGCUUGGUCUAGGGCCGGCCCUGACAGUGGGAGUGGAGAGAAAGAAAAAGAGAGGUAGAGAGCAAGAGUUGAGAGAAAAAGGCAGAGAAAGAAUGAGAAAAAGAAAGUUUUUAAGCUAUGAGUCUCGUCAUUGCAACAUAGAGAGCAAGUUCCAUCACGAAAAUGUCCGCAACAAUGAACGCAGGGCAAGAGCUGAGAGAAUGAGAAGGAAAGCUGCAAAGAGGAAUAUAAAACUUUUGGAAUUCAUUUUCUUUUGGGGUUAGAUGCUUCUCACAAAUCUCACCACCAAUAUUUGAGAUUGCAAACCAAUUGGCUGUCCUCAACUGGUUCAAUGAAGAAUCUAACAAAUACAAGUUCAUUAAGAAAUCCCUUGAGGAUGUGGAUGAGGUUGAUCAUAUAGAUGUGACAGCCAAUGAUGAAGCAGCAAACCACACUGAAACACUAGAUGU